rnacentral:rRNA from 1 species
UACGAAGGGGGCUAGCGUUGCUCGGAAUCACUGGGCGUAAAGGGUGCGUAGGCGGGUCUUUAAGUCAGGGGUGAAAUCCUGGAGCUCAACUCCAGAACUGCCUUUGAUACUGAAGAUCUUGAGUUCGGGAGAGGUGAGUGGAACUGCGAGUGUAGAGGUGAAAUUCGUAGAUAUUCGCAAGAACACCAGUGGCGAAGGCGGCUCACUGGCCCGAUACUGACGCUGAGGCACGAAAGCUGGGGGAGCAAACGGG